CCCGUCCGGGAACGCCCGGCUCGGGGCGGCCGUGCCGAAACCCCCCGCGGCCCGCCCGGCACCGGGGAGGGGGGAGCGCCCCGGCCGGGCCGGGCCGGCUGGCGGGGCGAGAGGGACAGCCCUGCGGGGUGACUCCGGGGAGCGGCUGCCGUGGGUCAGAUAAAUGAUAUUUUAAAACAGCAAAGCCUUGCCCUUGUGCAGUUCAUGUGGGCCAUUCUAAGAAAGACUUCAGGGACUGUCCUUUCCCUUCCUGCUGUAGAGCAGUAUUGUACUGCUGGUGAUGGACGAUUGUGGCUCUCAUUCAGAAAGGUACCUGCGGAGCACUGUGCCUUCAGUAUAGUGAGAAUGGUAAUUGGAUCCUACAGUUAGGAGGACUCUAAGCUGUGAAUUUUAAGCACGCAGUGUUAUCUGUGUUGUGGCCUGACUUAAGUUUCUAAGGAAUUGCAAUAAUGCUGCUGCAUUUCUGGGGUUUGGUUUGAUUUAUCUUUAGACUUGUUGAGAGACACAAUACCAUUGAAUGAUUCUCUCAGACACAGGCAUUUAAAUCUUCAGGUAUUUAAAAGGAGAAAGGGAAGAUUUUUCACUGGCGGAACAUUGCUUGAAGGGAUGAAGAUGCCUGGCUAAAUCUGCUGUGUCAGGUGGUCUUGUAGAAGAUAAUAUUUGUCCCACCAAGCUUGCCUUAAUUCCCUGUUGAACGAUCUGCAUUCACCAAGGCUCUGGUGUGGCUGAAGGAGGAAUGUGUCUGGAGACAGGGGUUCUGUAAUGUGUGACUCCAGGUCUGUUAAACCUGGGAGAUGAGCAGGAGCUCACAUCCAGGAACUCUGUGCUGUGCAGUCCUGGGAGACAGAAUGGGUCUUUGGGCCCUUCAGUUCCCCUCUCUGCCAUACAGGGCUGUGCUCUUUUUGCAGCUUUUGAGCUGUAAACAUCCGAGGAUGAGAGCUGUAAUUGAGAAGCUGUCCCUUAGCAGAAGUCCAAACAUGAGAGAAAUUUUUUUCCUAUUCUUUUGACUAAGAAUUUUCUACCUUAAUUUUUAUUGAAUUCUUCUGUUUUUUUACUGCCUAUAACUCUAAAUGUUAUAUGUGCAAACAUGUAUGACCCUGAUAGUAGCUGCUUAGCCAGUUGCCUUGUGACUGCAUAUUCAGUGUCCAAAAAAGCCAGAGGAAAAAGCAUAUUACAUUAGUUACACUGGUUUUGCAAGUAAUUUUCUGAAAUAACUUCUGGUGAAAAAAAAUUUGAAACAGAACCUUUCCAUAAGUUAUAAAACGCAGUAAUAAGAAUUCAUAUUUUUAGUUUGUUGUAGCUUCUCCAAAAUGUCUACUGUGUUGUUGCCUCAGAAUAGCUUUCAAAGUAGGAGAACUGGAUCUCAGCCAUGAUACUUGCAAAAUAAAAAUAAAAUAAAAUAAAAAAUAAGAUAAAAUAUAAUUAAUUUGUUGAUCCUCCAUGUUCUGACAACCUAGAUUAUCCUCACAAUAACCUUUGUUAUCUUUGAUUUUAAAGUCCUAUACAUAAGAAAGUCAACUUUUUAACAAAGUUUAGUGUACUUGUGCUGGAAAUUUAGAACAUGUCUGACUGCUUUUCAAACCAGAAUAGUGAAUUGUGUUACAGCACUGAGAAGGUUGAUACAUAAAAGGAAAGCAAGGCCAAACAAAUACAUUAAGAAAUCUUGAAAUAUAGGUUUAUUAAGUUAUGAUACAUGUUAGCUUUGUUAAUUCAUCAGAAAAGAAUGUUUGGAUUUUUUUAACUUAAUGAGCACGUGAGUCUGUUUAUCACAUGCCUCCAAAAUAAGUGUCUUUGCAGAUGUUUGCUCUUUAUUAAAAAUACUUUUUCUCUCCUCAGGCCAUGCUACACUAUUAAAUUAAACAAUGAAUUUCCUUGCUUAUUACUGGAGACAGAACACUAUGGCAGGCAUAGCCCUGGCUAUCCUGUGCAUAGCACUAACUUUUUAAUAUCAAUUUUAAGAGUUAUUUACAGAUUAGUAGUGUAGCACCUAUAUAUUUUGUCUGGCAAAACUUUUUAAUAUCAAUUAUAGGAACUGUCUGCACAUUAUUGUAGUAUUUCAUUGAUGCUAUGUCUGGUUAGUCAAAAAUGAUCAGCUAAUUUCAUUGAGAGUGAUAUCUCUGUGAUAAAUACUAUGAAUUUUACUGACUGCUAAAUGGUCUGGGUCACCUAGGAUAAUUUUAUUACCCUACUUAAUUAUUAAUCGUUUCUUUGUCCUAGUCAUCCUUCCCGUAUCUGCAACCACAUUUCUUUCACAGUGAGUUUCAAACUUACAGUCAUUCUCUAGUGUCAAAUGUCAUGUUGUCAGUGUUAGCUCAACAAACCCAGCUGUUUAUGACUAGACAGUCUCUUCACAGACAGAAUAAACACAAGCACUUCUGAAGAGGCUUUAUAAAACUCUAGAGGGGAAAGGAUUAAAGAAAAAUUAGGAGUAACUGUGUAGAUUAGAAACUUUGAAUUAGAAAAUACUCUGAUACACGCCUGUUUAUAUUGCAUUUCAACCUGAGGUAAUUCACUAUUAAUGUCUUUUACAGUAAAAGCCUGAAGUCAUUUAGUAAUGUAACAAUUAGUAAGGAAUAAUAAUAUCUUUUAUCUGCAUAUCCUGUUAAAAUGUGGUACAUGCUGACUUAGCAGUGAAAUUUUGCCCCCUCACCCCCCCUUUUUAAACUUAAAAUGCUCAAGUCUGGGUCUACUGACUAGGCUCACACUUAGAGAGGUAAAUACUACAAACCUAAAAUGUCUUUGCCUUCCAGUCAAGGUUGGCCUAUACUGAUACUUGCAAAGUUAAGCAGUUAUCACAUUCUUUAAAUAUAGCUAUCUUGCCUGGGCAUAAGAAACCUUCAGCACAGUUUGCACACAUUGUAAAUUACUUCAAGCUCUUCCAAAGGAGAAUUUUCUUGGCAGAGUUUCUACAAUGCAUACUUCCCUCAUUAGAAGAAUAGCUUAAAGAAAUAGAGUAUGAAACUACAAGAGAUUACAAAGAGCUGUAAAAUUAACUUUGUGUUUUGUGAUAAUGUCUGUGAAAUCCUUCCUUGUGUGAUACAAAGUGGACAUGAUGUAAAAUCCACGAUGUGGACAGAGCUGUAACAGAAGUCCUGACAGGGCACUGUUCUAGCACUCCAUUGUAUAGUGGCUAAGGAUAUAGACCUCCCUUGCAAAGAAAUAACCCAAGGUAGUGCUGUCAUCAUGUAACAUUCAGUUCCAGCAGUUUGCCUUAGUUUGAAUCAGUCACCAAGGGAGGAAAGGGAAGGAAUGCUGGGCAUGUGUAUAGUUGUGAUAAGUAAUUAGUGUUCAUGCAACACUAGCAUCCAUCAGACUCUGAAGGAAUGGAAUGCAGUGCAUCUGCAGUGAGGACAUGUUUAUGUUGGAUUAUCCUGUGCUAAUGCAGAGUGUGAUUUUCACCAUUUGACUCCUGCCACUGUAUCUCCUGUAGCUGAGCCACCUUACUGCAGUGGGCUGUGGCUUGAGGGCUUUUCAGAUGUGGAAAUGGUUUGCUUUGUGUAUCUAUAGUAACCAACUGCUGGCAUUUUCACUAAGUGCUGUGCGUAAGCUGAGGGUGUGUUACUGUUAUUAUUAUCUGCUUUAUAACUUAUCCCAGAAGGCAAUGUAGUAUGUGGAAGCUAAAUUAUCUUGAAAUAAAACAGUUCAUGAUCUGAAGUGGUUAAGCUCUGUCAGCAAAGAUGCUCGUGAAGUUUAAUUGACCCUGCCAAAAAUAACCUUUAGUAUGUCUAGAGAGACCUUUGAGUGUUACAAUUUACCUUUCUUGAUCUGAGAACAGUAGAAUAUAGUGCCUGUGUGGGCUGUAAUGCUCUCAGCGCCUGUAUGGCAGACAUACCUUUUAGUUAGUGGUACAGCAAUCAGCAGGUGAAUUUAUAUUUCAUCCAAAACAUCACUUAUAAUUAAACGUCUCAUCUUCUCAGUGGUGCCUAUUUCUGCUGAACUGUUUUUACUCAAGUAAUAAACGUUCCUUUGCACAUUUUAAAUAGCAGUAAGUGUAGUGGCAGUUUCAUAUGGUAAAGGAUUACUCAAUGACAGCAUCUUAUCUUACCUAUGUUUGAAAGGCAAGAGGUUUUAUAAUUAUGAAAUUACCCACUGAGCAAACUUUCUUAAUAAUGCUCUAAAGAAAUUAGUAUGAAACACAGGUAAGGGUAAAGAAAUUAUCAGAAACCAAAAUCAUCAUUACAUCAUUUUUCCAAA